rnacentral:lncRNA from 1 species
UAGUAGAAUACGCAUGCUGUUGAGAGGUAGAAUAGUAGAAUACGCAUACUGUUGAGAGGUAGAAUAGUAGAAUACGCAUACUGUUGAGAGGUAGAGUAGUAGAAUACGCAUACUGUUGAGAGGUAGAAUAGUAGAAUACGCAUACUGUUGACAAUUAGAAUAGUAGAAUACGCAUACUGUUGAGAGGUAGAAUAGUAGAAUACGCAUACUGUUGAGGUAGAAUAGUAGAAUAUGCAUACUGUUGAGAGGUAGAAUAGUAGAAUACGCAUACUGUUGAGAGGUAGAAUAGUAGAAUACGCAUACUGUUGAGAGGUAGAGUAGUAGAAUAUGCAUACUGUUGACAAUUACAAUUACUAGCCAGCUAUCUAAACUGGUCAGGUCGUCUAGCCAGCUAUCUAAACUGGUCAGGUAGUCU